CAGUCAUGCCAGUGAAAAUUCAGUUUGGCGGGUUUUUCGUUUAGGAGUAGAGGCAGGGUCAAACCGUCUCUCUUUUGAACGGAUUCUUGUCAGAUGCAUUUUUUCUCUUGCAGGUCAGCGUCGGUUACGGGGGUUGUAAAAUACUUGGGGUAAAGUAGCUCUGCUUCGGGAGAGUGUUAUAGACCUUGGGGAUGCAGCCCGCGGGAUCGAGGAUUGCAGCAAAUGCCAUUGGCUUGUCGCCUGAUCUCUGGAUGUUACCUUGCUUGCAACAACAUUCUUGUUGCCGGUGAGUACUAAUGCUCACUAGGUUAGAACGAUCAAAAAU
rnacentral:rRNA from 1 species